rnacentral:rRNA from 1 species
UCGGGAAUUUUGGGCAAUGGGCGAAAGCCUGACCCAGCAACGCCGCGUGAAGGAUGAAGUAUUUCGGUAUGUAAACUUCGAAAGAAUAGGAAGAAUAAAUGACGGUACUAUUUAUAAGGUCCGGCUAACUACGUGCCAGCAGCCGCGGUAAUACGUAGGGUGCGAGCGUUAAUCGGAAUUACUGGGCGUAAAGCGUGCGCAGGCGGUUUGGUAAGACAGAUGUGAAAUCCCCGGGCUUAACCUGGGAACUGCAUUUGUGACUGCCAGACUAGAGUGUAGCAGAGGGGGGUAGAAUUCCACGUGUAGCAGUGAAAUGCGUAGAUAUGUGGAGGAAUACCGAUGGCGAAGGCAGCCCCCUGGGCUAACACUGACGCUCAUGCACGAAAGCGUGGGGAGCAAACAGGAUUAGAUACCCAUGUAGUCCCUGAGCGGGCUGGCAAGGCGCAU